CCUCUCCUUGCUACGCCCGCCACCGGAUUCAAACAUGGGAGAAGGUGGAGAAGAGAAAUCAUUCAAUUUCCUACAGGUUUUGCUCGAGGGCAGCAUAGCUG